CCUAUAAGGUCAUUGUGCCAUGGUAGUGUUUGUGUAUAUAUACAGUGGGACCUCAGUUUACGAAUCUAAUGCGUUCUACUGGGACGUUUCUUAUUGCGAAACAUUUGUAAACCGAAACGUGGUUUCCCAUAGGAAUGCAUUGAAAACCAAUAAAUCCGUUUUGGAGGUCAGAAAAAAGUCAAAAUGAGCUGGCAUGGAAACCAACCCACAAUGCAGAACACACAAUAAAAGGCAUGCAAAUGAUCAUAGG